UACGUAGGGGGCUAGCGUUGUCCGGAAUCAUUGGGCGUAAAGAGCGUGUAGGCGGCCCGGUAAGUCCGCUGUGAAAGUCGGGGGCUCAACCCUCGAAUGCCGGUGGAUACUGUCGGGCUAGAGUGCGGAAGAGGCGAGUGGAAUUCCCAGUGUAGAGGUGAAAUUCGUAGAUAUUGGGAAGAACACCGGUGGCGAAGGCGGCGACCUGGUCCGUGACUGACGCUGAGGCGCGAAAGCGUGGGGAGCAAACAGG
rnacentral:rRNA from 1 species